rnacentral:ncRNA from 1 species
UGUACGAAAAGACAAAGCCAUUGAAAGAUGGUGACGUAAAGCUAUAGGGACUAAGGCAUGGAAACAUGUUAAGUCAGCCAGUUGUCGAA